rnacentral:misc_RNA from 1 species
GAUGAAGAACGCAGUGAAAUGCGAUAAGUAGUGUGAAUUGCAGAAUUCAGUGAAUCAUCGAAUCUUUGAACGCACAUUGCGCCCCUUGGUAUUCCAUGGGGCAUGCCUGUUCGAGCGUCAUUUGUACCCUCAAGCUUUGCUUGGUGUUGGGUGUUUGUCCCGCGUUGCGCGUGGACUCGCCUUAAAGCGAUUGGCAGCCGGCAUAUUGGCCUUGGAGCGCAGCACAUUUUGCGCUUCUAGUCAUGAAUGUUGGCGUCCAUUAAGCCUAUACAUUUGCUCUUGACCUCGGAUCAGGUAGGGAUACCCGCUGAACUUAAGCAUAUCAAUAAGCGGAGGA